rnacentral:rRNA from 1 species
UACGGGGGGGGGCAAGCGUUGUUCGGAAUUACUGGGCGUAAAGGGCUCGUAGGUGGCCAACUAAGUCAGACGUGAAAUCCCUCGGCUUAACCGGGGAACUGCGUCUGAUACUGGAUGGCUUGAGAUUUGGGAGAGGGAUGACGGUAAGUUCCAGGUGUAGCGGUAGAAAUGCGUAGAUAUCUGGAGGAACACCGGUGGCGAAGGCGGCAUCCUGGACCAACACUGACGCUGAGGAGCGAAAGCCAGGGGAGCAAACGGG